rnacentral:rRNA from 1 species
UACGAAGGGGACUAGCGUUGUUCGGAAUCACUGGGCGUAAAGCGCACGUAGGCGGAUUUGUAAGUCUGUUGUGAAAUCCCCGAGCUCAACUUGGGAAUUGCAAUGGAUACUGGCAGGCUGGAGUAUGGUAGAGGAAGGUGGAAUUCCCGGUGUAGCAGUGAAAUGCGUAGAGAUCGGGAGGAACACCAGUGGCGAAGGCGUCCUUCUGGACCAAUACUGACGCUCAUGCACGAAAGCGUGGGGAGCAAACAGG